rnacentral:tRNA from 1 species
UCCCCUGUGAGGUAAAGUAGCCUGUCGGCCUGUUAAGCCGAUCGUCGUGGUGCGAAUCCACGUCGGGGAGCCA